ACGCCGUUGGUGAAAUGGUUAUCAUGCUUGCCUUCCAUUGAAUUGCUUACAUAAGCCCAUUUGAAAUGCGCAGCAAGCGGCGGGGGUUCGAUUCCCUCACGGCGUA
rnacentral:tRNA from 1 species